AUGGUUGCCGAAUCCUUCCUUCUUGAGGAAACAAGAAAAUUGCAGCAUGCGAUCACAUGCAGAGUAUCACGGGCGGGGCAGCAGAGGGACGGUGCACCGCGCGCGCACACACUGGCCAAGACGUCCAUCCCCACCUUUCUCUCAUCACUGCGCCCUACUUACUCGGUUACUCCUUCCACUCCACUGCUAGUGAGCUCCGAUGCGUCCGUCCGUCCGUCCGUCCGUCCGUCGAGAUCCAGGAUGAUCCCGGCCGGUGCUGCAGCUGCUGCUGGUGGAGCGGCAGGGAUGAUGCGCAUCCGCGAGGUCGCACGGGCGCACAUCGUCCUCGGGUGGGCCACCGCCCUCCUCGCCGUCCUCGCCCUCAACCUCCCGCCACAGCUUCAGGGGACGUGCAGGACCACCGAGGAUGAGGUGGCGCACAUGCGCGUCGACGCGCUGCUGCUGCUGCUGUCCAGCGCCGCCCAGGCCGCGGCGGCCACGGUGGCCGCCUUCGCGUUGGAGGACUGGCGCACGGGAGUGCCCUGGAGCUUCGCUGUCUUCGCCCAUGGGAUGGGUGUCGCCACCUUCUACCGCCUCGACAACGUCGUCUUCUUGGUGGCGCGCGUCACCGUCGGGAGCUGCCCCAGCAGCCAUGUGCUCGUCCACGGGAACCCCCUGGUAGCCCACUUCAUUCUGCUCGCGGUGCCCCUCGGUCUCUUCUUCCUGUUCGGCGUCUGCAAGUUGAUCUCCGCACUGGUAUACCCUUAG
rnacentral:rRNA from 1 species